CGGAUCCUCUGGUAGGCAGUUCGAAUUAAUUAUUUGCUUCCAUUCUUCUGCGUAGGAGACAGCUGUGUCUGGUAAGUGUGGGCUUUUGGAGAAAGAGGGGGUGGGAGAAUUGACUGAAUGCACAAUGUGAAGGAUUGUUUGUUUGUUUGCUUUUGUGGGGGGGGGGGGACUAUUCAAAACCUCUGGUAUCACACCAGCUUAAAACGGGCUCUUUUUCAAGGUAACAUUGCCACGCACUAAAUUGCCACUAGGAGGAUAAUCUCUGAUUAUAGCUCUUUGAGGCUCAAAACACAGAAGAAUAUUUGCUUGUAAGCUUUCCAGAAGCCUAUGGUUGACCACCCUGAGGAAUAUGAUCUGGCAGAGCUCUCCUCAUUUAUCCCCAAGUAAUACAUUUGCUUUCUUGGUGAAAAGAGUGGAGGUGAAGAGACAAAUAAGAGAAUUUAUUUUAAGCAGAGCUCUAAAGAUGGGCUUCAGGGAUGGCUGGUCUGUUUGCAAAGCUGAAUAAGGAUCAGUCUGUAGGGAACGGCAUUGUAACAGGCCUGAAACAGCUAGCGGCAUUAGGAGAGGUGGCUAGAGGCCCAGACCUCAGUUUGUCUGCUUUGUAGUAAACCAUUUAAAAAAAAAAAAUUACAGGCAAUUUGUGAUGAAUAUAACUAUAAGCUGAUCAAAACUUACUAUCAUUAUCAUUAAUUAUAUUUGUAUACUGCCCUCCAUCCAAAGAUCAUAGGGUGGUUCACAAAAAUGCAAAAAAUACAAAACUUAGUAACAGGAUCUUAUCCACAAUCAGGAAAAACCUGGAAAUGGAUUCAUUUUCUUUCCUUCUAAGUCAAAGUGUCUGGAGCAGCUUAAAUCUAAGGGUUUUAUCUUGUCUGGGAGUUAUCUGCCUAAAGCGUGUUUUGAGAUCAUUAUAUGUAGCCAUUUAUCACAGCGGGGAUUAAUCAUUCCUUCUACACAAGAAGAUCUAGGAGCACCAACGAAGAGUGCGCUCUGUCCAUACAACCCAAGGUAAGACAGUGGUGUGAAGCUCUCUAAAAGAAGUUGAUGAACAUUAAUCCAGGGAGUACAGUGGUACCUCAGGUUACAUACGCUUCAGGUUACAUAUGCUUCAGGUUACAGACUCUGCUAACCCAGAAAUAGUACCUCGGGUUAAGACCUUUGCUUCAGGAUGAGAACAGCAGCAGCAGCAGCGGGAGGCCCCAUUAGCUAAAGUGGUGCUUCAGGUUAAGAACAGUUUCAGGUUAAGAACGGACCUCCGGAACCAAUUAAGUACGUAACGAGUGGUACCACUGUACACACAUUUCAGUGGAGGCACAUAUGCUCUCUACAUAUGCUCUCCCAGCAUUCCUUCAAUCUCUGUUUUAAAAUGGGAGCAAGAGCAUUUUCUGACAUUGGAAGGAUGCAAGGGCGCUUGCAGCUUUUUUUUUUUAAUUACUUCACAGCAGGGGUGGAAAAAUUGUGGCUGUUGGACUCCCAUUAGCCCCAGCUGGCAUGGCGAGUGGUUAGAGAUAAUGGGACGUGUCACCCAACCAUAAUUUCCUCCUCCUUGCUUGAUAGUACAGUCAUACCUUGGAAGUCAAACAGCUUAGUUCCCAAACGUUUUGGCUCCUGAACGUCACAAACCUGGAAGUGACUGUUCCGGUUUGCAAAAUAUUUUUGGAAGCCGAACAUCCAACUGGGCUUCCGGGGCUUGAGAUAGGCUGCAGGAGCUUCUUGCAGCCCAUCAGAAAGCGUACUUUGGUUUUCGAACCUCUUGGAAUUCGAACAGACUUCCGGAAUGGAUCCCGUUCGACUUCCAAGGUAUGACUGUAAUAUGCCGUAUUUUUUGCUCUUUAAGACUCACUUUUUCCUUCCUAAAAAGUAAGGGGAAAUGUGUGUGCGUCUUAUGGAGCGAAUGCAGGCUGCACAGCUAUCCCAGAAGCCAGAACAGCAAGAGGGAUUGCUGCUUUCACUGCGUAGCGAUCCCUCUUGCUGUUCUGGCUUCUGAGAUUCAGAUUUUUUUUUCUUGUUUUCCUCCUUCAAAAACUAGGUGCAUCUUGUGGUCUGGUGCGUCUUAUAGAGCGAAAAAUACGGUAGUUGGAGUUGGCUAGAGAUGUAGCGUGCUUGCUCUGCAGCCACUCUUGACAAAAAGCUACUUGCAAGUGCUACAAUUUUCAGUCAAUUAAAGUAAGUCAUUUGAGGACUCUUGAAAUUAUUGUAGCCUAUAUAUUUUAGAAAUAGCAUGGUUUGAAUAGCUUCCAGCAGAGCAAGAUCAAGCUUAACGUAAAGACAUGUUUCAACAAAUCAGAAUUAAUAGAAAUUUAUAAGGAAUCUAUAGUGUACCUGUGUGUGGACUGGACACUCAGUUCUUGUCAAGCUCAGUUUAGAGAUGAACUUGCUGGUGAUCUGUCAUGUAUCAAGAGAGCAAGAGCAGAAAAAUAAAAUACUACAAUGUCCGGGUUUGGGUGUUUCUCAGUGAGAUUAAUACAGCAUCCAGAAUAUAUGGAACAUUUAGAAAGAGUGUUGUUUCACAAAACCUCUUUCUAUAGAGCUGAGGAAAUGUUUCCCUGUUUAGAACUGAGAAACACAUUUGGGUAGGGAAAGCUUUAUUUCCUUGGGUAAUGACUGUAUUGUUAAUUGAAAGAGGAAACUGCCAUGCUAGGCAUAUAGUUACAUCUGAAGCAACAUUUUAAAUUAAAGUUCAGCUUUCCGACUUUCAAGCCAGUGUGUGAUUGCCCUUCUGUUUACUAUUUGAUACUUUCAGACAGUUAUGAUAGGACUGCUUUUAUGGUCAGAGGGGCAUCAUCCAGAGUAUUUAGGGACUCAAAACAGCUAGAAGAAACAGGAAGGCUUCACUGGCAGAAGUAGGCCUUUGGGCUUAGGAAAUUCCCCUGCCUUCAGGUCAACUGCAAAAUGAACUGAGGCGAGAACCAGAAAUUCAAAUGGCAUUUGGUGUCUGAAAUUUCUGAAAACACAAAUGAUUUGUUUGUUAUUAUAUUAAUAGUUCACAUAUUUCACUGGGUAAGACUGGAUUUCAUUUUAAUUUGCUGCAGGGAAACCGAAGUUUUUGGCAUUCAUUUCUGCUCUGUAAUUAAUUGCUGCCCAUUUACAGCAGGGUGAAAGGGGAGGAAAAACCGCCAUUCCCUCUGUAAGGUUCCUCUUGGUUAGUCUGUUUCUCUGUCAAACAAGUUGGUCUUUGAAGAAGCAGCUACGCAAUAAACGACUUUGUUUAUUUCCUCAUUUGUUUUGAAUGUGGUUGGGAGGGGGAAUUCUACGUUACAACUUAAUGGCAUAGGAUUCAUGUCUGGAAUUUUUUAGAUUUAUUUUACUUUCUCACAUUUAUACCCACCUUUCUUCCAGUGUGGAACUUACAGACACAUAUAUGUGGCUCUCAGGGGGCCUGCUAUCCAGAGGCACAGACCAGCCUCAGAGCUGUUUAGCUUCAGCAGGGUGUGCCUCAGAGAAGUAUUGAGCCACAUUAGGUCAUGCAUUUGCUCUGAAAGGGAAUCCCUAUGCUGAAAUGGCGGCAAAGAACAUACUCAGUCUCCGAUUUCUACCUUUUCUUUAUUCUGUGUCACUAUCAAUACAGGACCCACAGUUCAGAUUUGUACUGCAUGUACAGAUCCGACAUAUGCAGAAUAUCAGCUAAGACCUGUCUAGAGGAAGAACCCUCUGACUGAAAUAAUAAAAGGGUUUUCUAUUUAGAAAUACCUAAUGCUAUAGAUUAACUCUUCUUUUUAAUGGGGUGGGGAACUAGUGCAGAAUAGUUAAUAAAUAUACAGUUAAUAAUCUUCUUCUUCUUUGGCGAUCACUCGUAGCCAAGUAAGAUUGUCUUCCAUAAACACGGUUUUAACAAUGGGUCCGUAAGUGACCGUGGAGUCCAAUUCUGGAUCUACACAUCCUUCCACAGUGGGGACAUUGGUUUCCGGGUGGGAGUUGAUCACGGUGUGGAUUUGCCAAGCGUGCCUUCCUCUUAGCACGUUUCUCCCUUGUGUCCUGAGUUUGAGUGUCUUCAAAGCCCAUGACACCCUUGGUAAAGGCUGUUCUCCAACUGGAGCGCUCACAGGCCAGUGUUUCCCAGUUGUCAGUGUUUAUACUACUUUUUUUAGAUUUGCCUUGAGACAGUCUUUAAACCUCUUUUGUUGACCACCAGUAUUACGCUUUCGAUUUUUAAGUUCGGAAUAAGAGUAGUUGCUUUGGAAGAUGAUCAUCAGGCAUCCGCACAACAUGACCAGUCCAACGAAGCUGAUGUUGAAGAAUCAUUGCUUCAACACUAUAAUAAACAGUAUAUUUGCUUUUAUUAUCCAUAGGAAAGUAGAAAACCUCUAAGGAAACAAAACUGUGUGUCCAAUUUUGUUCCAUAACUCUCUUUCAAGUUCUAUAUUAUAUGGCCAUCAGGCUUUGUUUUUUAACUUGCUUUAAACCUUUAAAGUCAUUAAGAAGAUACCUACGAAAUCAUUAAACAGACAUAAAAUAGUGGUAAGAAGCUGCCAUAAGAUGGCACCAUAACCUAAUGUAUGGAGAAGUCAUCUCUAUAUGAAACAGAAAACUAGCAUAAAGGGAUAUGCUUCCUAGCUUGAAAAUUGGCACACGUCUAACUUUCGCUCUCUUCUUCCCUCAAUUCUCUCUCCCCACUUCUGGUACUGAAGACAAUCCGAGGACGUUAAGUGGCUUGCAUUAAGAUAGAAUUUUAAAAGCAUGGAUAUCUGCCGAAGCCUUUCCCCCCUUUGUUUCAGUCUUUUUAUUAAUGUCCCAGCUGAUUUGUACAUCAUUCUAACAUAUUCUGAAACAAAGUGUUUCCAAGAUAUAAGCAGAUAUUGAAUAAUAAUAUAUCAGUGGGAGGUAAAGUGACAUGUAUCACUUUGAUUAGAGGGGAAAUGUGCAGGGCUUUAAAAGUUUAUGGUAUCGCAAAGCGCUUUUACUUGUAUAAUGAAGAUUAUUUCACUGCCUACAAAAAUGAAUAAAUCCUAUACACAGUAAGCUCCACUGAACUGGGUAGAGCUUACUUCUGCAUAGAUAAGCAGAGCGUUGUACUGUGAAGAAUCAUUGAAUUGCACAGGUGUAAGGGGACCUCAAGGGUCCUCUAACCCAACCCCCUACAAUGCAGGAAUCUCAGCAUCAGCAUACAGGCCCGCAUCCAAAUUUGUUUCUUCCUCCCUUCCCUUAAUUGUAAUAUUGCUGGAGCACAGGGAGCAAAUAUGUUUGGAAGCUCUCUAGGCCACUCUGUGUUCUUCUUCCCUUCCCUUCAGGGCAGUAUGAUGUCCAGCCCUCUGAUAAGUGGAUGGGAGAUGCAAUCUUCUGGGGGCCACAUACAAGUGGUGGGCAGGGAGAGGAACAAAAGCGGUGUGAGCAACAGGCAUUCCAUUUGGUCACAUCUCUGUCUGUGUCCCAUACCCUCCAACCUUUCUUAGAUGAAAACCAGGAGCAGUGGCAAAGCAGGAGGGGGAAAAGGCAGCCUCAGUUGGCAACUCUUUCUUCUUCGCCCUAUGUGAAGCCAUUUCUAGUUAGUGUACCUCAACAGAUGGCGAUUUGGGACUUGGCAUGAGAAAGUGAGAAGCUGGGAGGGCUUAAGGGUUUUCCUGACAGUACCGGCAUAUUCAGGGCAGGUGGAGACUAUGCUAUCCUCCAAGCAAGGAGCAUUAACAAAGUUCAAGGGCACAUUUUAGUCAGGCAAAAACACCCAGUCGGGGUGCAAAGCCAGUGAGGAGUGUGGACUGGGGACAGCCUUGAGGGCCUGAUAGAGAAGCUUGGAAGACUGCAUUUUACUCAUGGGCCUAAGUUUGCCCAUCACAGGGUUUUCUGUGAUACCUCUCGUUUUCUAGAUACAUAGGCUGAGUUUCAUGAAUUUUAUAGAUCUAUAGGCCAGGACAUUGCAUUUUGGGUAAAUUAAGAAAGCGGGAAGCCACCACAGAUAGGAGCCAAGCUUUGCUCCCAUUUAAAAGCAGCAGCAGCACCUGCCCACUCCUUAAACAGCCAUUCAGAAGAUGUAAUGAUAAGUGGUGGCAGUCAGGCCAGCCCAGUAAAGGGCCAGUAAAGGGCCCCUGGCCAGUGCCCAACCUGGUUGACCACUAACACCAUCCUGGACCUAAAUAAUAUGAACAGGACUAGAUUUCUGCAGUCAGUACAAUGUAAGAAAAGCACCUUCAGACUGACUUCGUAUUCUUUUCUAGUUGUAAUGAGUCUAAUAAGUCCAGCACCUACAGAAAUCCAGAGAGGGUGUUAAGAAACCUUAGGUUUCAAAUGCACCAAGUGUGAUGGCAGCUUUUACAGUCAGUGAAAAGGAACCCUGUUUCCUCUUUGGCUAGCACAUGCAGGUGGCUCUGGAUAAACAUUUGCCACCACUUCUAAAGCCGUGAGUAUUUUUGUAUAUGCAGCACUUGGCACAAUGCAUAGAAAACAAAACAACCCACCACUUUGGAUGUGGUGGUGAGUGCAUGUUCAAAGCUGUGAUUACAUACAAGCCAAGUUGUGUUUGGGCAUGGUGUGUGUGUGUGUGUGUGUGUGUGUGAAAUCUGGUGUUUUGUAUGGCCAACAUUGCACCAUGGGAAAUUUAUAUACCAACUUAAGACAUUUAUAUACCACUUUUUUUGGGGGGGGGGUUGUCGGCAGCUGAAAGCUGUAUCCUUCCUCCCCUUAGGGCAAGAUAGUUUUUGCAGUGUCCCAUGUUGCAAUCAGAUGGCUAGUGGUUAAUGCCUAUUAACAUCAGUGCUGUGGCAUCUGAACAUUAAAAUGAGCAAAGUGUGAGGUAGCUAGGAUUUAUUUUGAAGGCCUCUGGAAAGUCAGGCCUUUAUACAGUCUUUGCAGUAGCUGGGAAAGGCAGAGAGCACCUCAGCUGGAGCACAGGGCGCAAGAUGUUUGGAAGCUCCCCAGGCCAUUCUGUCCUCUAUGUUCCCUUCAGGGCAAGAUGUUGCUCAGGCCUCUGGUAGUGGCUGGCAGAGUUCAAGGUCACAUCAGCUGGAACAACAAGGGGGCUAGGUGGUUGAUGGUUCUCCUUCCCUCAGUGUUGGAGAGUCCUGACAUAGAAGUCUGCAGCAUUUUAGUUUUCUUUGCAUUAAAGCAAGUUUCUAGACCUCAUCGUUGCAGGGAGAGGAUUGCAGUUAUGUAAGUCGCAUCACACGAAGUCUGAAAAACUGGAAAUGACCUGAAGAGGAAUUUAACUGAUCUGAAUAGACAUUUCUGAUCAGAACAGAACUAUGGGUUUUUCUUCCAUUGCCUUCCAGUCGAACCACCCCCCCCCCGCCCGCCAACACUUAUUUGUUAUUACCAGACCUUUCACUCGCCUUCUCUUCCUACCUUACUUGCCCCUGCCUAAGAAUUCCAAAGAAGCUACACAAAAGUGGGCCUAGCUAAAAUUGCAUUUGGACAUGCAACUAUUAUUUGCUUGUAUUAACAUUUAAUUCUGCUAUUUGGUCUGGGUUUCCUAAAGGUAUGAGAGAAUUUGGAGUUUGUGGGGUAGAAUAUUAACUGAGAAUGAAAUAAGCACUAGUAAAUAUUUUUCUGUUUAUAAUUGGUCCCCUUCUUUAUACAUCCCCCCAAAAGGCUUCAGUUAUUUUGCACUUUCUCCCACAUCCGAGUAGGCUCUGUUUAUACUUCCACCCUUGUAACUCGUGUUUGUGGAGAGCAGCUUGUCCUUGCCUUUUCCAUGCUGGCUGAUCACUGAGGUGACAGGCCACAUCUGGCCAUCUUAGUCACAUUCUGUUAUAUAACAGCAGCCUGCCAAACAAUCCCUUCAGUUGGCACAAUGCAGCAACCAUCCAGCAGCCAGGGGAGAUUGGUUCUGAGCACAUUGUUUUUGAAAACGGCACUUGGCAAUGACACGGUGGAUUAAAGCUCAGCUAGACACUGAAGAAGGCUGAGGGGGAGAGAGCAAAGGAACCUCUGUGUUGCCUGGUUUGUUUUGAACAACUGAUCGCAGGCCCUCCAUGGCACCCCUGAGUAGUCUUUAGGAACUGGAGUUUUUCCAAAUACAGAGAAGGAAUGGACCUGUUUAAUGUUAAUGAGCCAUGAAUCCAACCCAGCUGUUCCUCACAUCCUCUUCCUCUUGAGUCAGAUACAUUUCUGUCAGGUUGAUAGAACCUUUGCCACUGGUUUAUGCAGUAAACCUUAAAAUGGAGAAGUCCCAAAAUAUAGGCAUACCUUACCCCUCCCCAAAAAAAAUUCAAAAAAAAAUUUGUCCAGUAGCACCUUAGAGACCAACUAAGUUUGUUCUGGGUAUAAGCUUUCGUGUGCAUGCACAUUUCUUCAGAUGCACACAAAAGCUUAUACCCAGAACAAACUUAGUUGGUCUCUAAGGUGCUGCUGGACAAUUUUUAAAUUUAUUUUGAGUGCGUCAGACCAACACAGCUACCUCCCUGAAUCUACCCCCAAAUGUACAUGAAUCUAAGCUUUAUUUUAGCUGAGUACGGGGGCAUUAAAAGCAGCAUCUUUCUGCAUACUUAGGGUGUCUCCCAGGCAUGAAGAACCCUCCUUCUUCCUGAGUGGCUCUGAUACACUGCCAUACUAACCAGUAUGGAGCCACUUCACUGUUAGUGGGAACAGUGAUUGGUUUCAUUCAUGGGUACAAAAUCUUUUGGAUUUGCCAAGGCCUUGAUGGACAAACAUGGUUUGCUUGUGGCAUCAUUCCCUUUGCCUAGAUGGUAAAAUAUUGGACAUCUUAAAGUCAGGUCAAUGGGGAACCCAUGGGGAACCCAUGAACUUCAAUGGAGCAAGGAUUAUUCCAACAGCUAUCACUGCAUUGAAUGAUACUUGUUACGAGAAAUCUAGUGGCAUGUACAUUUAGAACUAAAACGAAUCCUGACGGAUGGUGCUAGAGUGCAAAGGGGUAAAAGGUCACAUGACCCAAUUGCUUUGCUGCCAUCUAUGCACCUGGAUGAGCUGUAGUUUUGUACAGCUUGCAACUUAUUCAUCAAUGCAUAUGCCAAUAAAUAAAGCAUUACUAUACUUUCAGAUCCUAGCAUGGGUGAAUCCUGCCCCCAAUGGCGAUUCAGUCUAACAUGUGUGCUGCCUAUUAACAGAAAGAUACAAGCCUUGGCAAUGUCCCAUGUUGCAAUCAGAUGGCUAAUGGUUAAUCCCCAUUAACAUCAGUGCUGUAGCAUCUGAACAUUAAAAUGAGCAAAGUGUGAGGUAGCUAGGAUUUAUUUUGAAGGCCUCUGGAAAGUCAGGCCUGUAUACAGUCUGGCAGAAAAGUCACAAAUGUGGCCAAAUUAUGGAUCAGUGAAUCUCAACAUGGAUGGGAUAUUUCAUAGCUGCUACAGGGGUUAAGAUUUUCUGCUGUGCUAUGUGACCUAUUCCUGCUGAACUUCAGAUUCCCCAAAUUCACUGGCUCAGUUGCUAGAACAGUUGUUAUUCCUGCAUUGGACGGGGUUGGACUAGAUGACCCUUCCUUCCAACUGCACAAUUCUAUGAACACUGAGUAUGGUAAAGGUAAAGGGACCCCUGACCAUUAGGUCCAGUCGUGACCGACUCUGGGGUUGCGGCGCUCAUCUCGCUUUAUUGGCCGAGGGAGCCGGUGUACAGCUUCCAGGUCAUGUGGCCAGCAUGACUAAGCCACUUCUGGCGAAACCAGAGCAGCACACGGAAACGCCAUUUACCUUCCCGCUGUAGUGGUACCUAUUUAUCUACUUGUACUUUGACGUGCUUUCAAACUGCUAGGUUGGCAGGAGCAGGGCCCGAGCAACGGGAACUCACCCUGUCGCAGGGAUUCGAACUGCUGACCUUCUGAUUGGCAAGUCCUAGGCUCUGUGGUUUAACCCACAGCGCCACCCGCUUCCCUUUUACUCAGUAUGGUAGGGGUCACCAAUGUCGCACCUCUGGGUUCAGUGUCUCUUUCUCUUUUUUAAAAAAGAUUUCUUGGUUUACAAAAGUAUGUGCAAUGUCUCUUAUUUCAAGUUACAUUUUCUACGGAUCAGUUUCAUUUGUUGAGACAUUAGUGUUACAUUAGGAAGAAAAGGGGAAAGAGGUGGAGGGGGCUAUGGUGAGUGGUUUCCCUGGUGCCCACAAAGCCUCUGAGCCCACCCCUCCACUCACUGGCCCCUUCAUCGGGAGUUGAUGGGGAUGAUUACCUCCCUCCCUCGUUGAAAAGUAAAUGGAGCUAAAGAACAAAGUAGAAGAACAGUACUCUCUCCUGCUUCCUCUUUUCAGUUUGUGUGCUUUUCAGAUCAGCACCUGAGCAGCUGAACAGAAAGUGGAGCACCUACAAUUGUGGGGGGGGGGGGCGCGAGCAAUUUGGAAUGGAACAAUAUGGGAGGCAGUGCAAAGAAGGUGCUGUGGGAAUCAGGAGAGGGAAUGGAGUGUCUAAGAGAAAGAGAGAGAGGCAGGGUGCAUGUGUGCACAGACACACAAGUACACAAGUUGAAUCCUGUAAAACAGAUCAUAUUGAAAUACAUGUUCAUGUACUCAUGAGCACAACCCCAAGUGCUUCUUUUUUUUGUAUCAAUCACCUAUCAUCCUUUUCCGGUCCCUGAUUUUUUUUUUAAAAAAUAACACAAUAUUUAAAUAAUUAGUAUUUUUCAUCCAAUGCCAUACCAUUGAAUGAAACAUAGAUGUAUCACUUCCUUUGCCAUUCAUGGUGAACUGCUUGUUGACAUGCAAUCAUUCCAAAAAUGAUUUACAUGCCCUUGGUUCGGGAAGCCAUAUUUAUCCUAGUUGAGUGGAAGUGAAGUCACUUAGUUAAAUAGUUAUGAUAGCUACCCUACCAUAAUAUAGCAGUCUGUCUACAGCAAGGCAGUACUGUUGAUAUCUAUUAUCAACUAAGAUUGAAAGUAUUGAUCUCAAAUAAUUGCAAUGGACAAAAUAAAAAGCAAAAGGGUAAUUGACAAUCAUGUCCCUCAUUGAUCCAGCAUCACAAUUGACAGUAACUAAAUGAUUUUCAAGCUACUUUGGUCUAUUAUUUUUUCAUUAACUAGUAUAGAUUUGAGCAACAUGCACCUAUUAGUUGGAGGGGUGGAGUGAAGAAGAACAAAUCAUUUAUCACUGCAGAUGUAAAGAUCUCCAUUCCUUCCAAUUGGGCAGAGAUUUCCAAACUGUGUGUCGCGACACUCAGUGUGUUGACUGCAGUGUGUAGGUGUGUCAUGUGAAUGCUGCCCGCGCUCCUCCCGGGGCUGGAAAGGGGUUAGUUUAACCUCUGGUUUGCUAGUAAAACUGAAUUACUGUGUCGCGAAAUGAUGCAUGCCUAAAAAGCGUGUCACCAACAACAAAAAUUUGGAAAGCUCUGCAAUAGGGAUUAGGUAGUAUUUUGACAUGAAACCUAUUCAGAUAAAUAAUGUUCAUGAUCCAUUGAGUCCUUUGUGGAUUUAUGGCUACCAGCUGUCUUGAUUUCAGCAAGAACAGUCCAAAAAUUCACCAGUUUGUAAGCACUCUCCUCCUAAGACUACUUUAAGGUGGCUUUCUCCCUCAUGGUGACUGUCUCUCAACUUGUACACAUGUGCAUAUGUUUAUGAACACAGAAAAUCUGCCCCUCAGAGUCUGAUCUGACUUAAGCAUUGUGCCCUCCCAGUAGCCACUAACAGUAUUAUGAAGAUCCUGACCCACUCAGGUCAGCAAAUCCUGUAAGAGGCUUGCAUGGGGAGAGCAACCACAGGUGGUCAUUAUGUAUGUAAAAAAAGGAGUGGGUGGUGCUGUGCCUCUUGGGCUUGCUGAUUGGAAGGUUGACGGUUUAAAUCUGCUCAAUGGGGUGAGCUCCUGUUGCUCAGCCGGAACUCACCAGAACUCAGUUCCGUCACCUCUCCAUUGUCAUGCUAAGACAAUGAGGAAGAUGUUCACGAUGAGUUCCAGCACUUCUUUUUCUAGAAAGAUAGCAUUGGGUGGGUCUAAUGUUGCCAGUGUGGCAUGUUUGUUGAGAGCCAGUGUGGAGUAGUGGUUAAGAGCAGUAGACUCGUAAUCUGGGGAACCGGGUUCGCGUCUCCGCUCCUCCACGUGCAGCUGCUGGGUGACCUUGGGCUAGUCAUGCUUCUCUGAAGUCUCUCAGCCCCACUCACCUCACAGAGUGUUUGUUGUGGGGGGGGGGAAGGGAAAGGAGAUUGUUAGCCACUUUGAGACUUCUUCGGGUAGUGAUAAAGCGGGAUAUCAAAUCCAAACUCUUCUUCUUCUUCGUCUUCUUCUUCUUCCAGGUCUUCCACCACAAUAAUAUCAUGUGAAGGAGGGAACCAUGUGAGCAGAUGGGUAAUGUGGCUAUUUCCUACGGCAGUGCCGAGAGCUAACAACCUAGGGAAGCAGCCACAUAAUACUCCCAUCCAAUGUGGUUCAGACAGACCGGCCUGACUAUGUGCAAGUGGCAACCACAGCACACAGGAAGCAUUAGCCCCCAGUCAGAUGGUGUAAGGAACUGUUUUGUCAGAUGGGCAGAAAAAAAGAGAGACCCCUGAGGCACUGAGCCACUACAAUUUCCAUUCCCAACUAUCAAUAAUAGUGUUGUGAGUUGCAGGGGAGGGGGGUCCUGGAACCAGCAAGGUUAAAAUCCAGUGGAAGAAUCAAUUGUUGAAGCAGCCAGACCAGCUUCUUGGUGUGUUAAUGGUCCUAUGUAUGGUUGUUAGUAUAACAGAGGAGGUUGCUCUAUGCCAUUGCACAAAUGGGUGGCCCCCCUCCCUCACCCGCCUGGUAGUGUGGAAGACAAAAGCCAGAGUGUGCAUGAGCUGGGCUAGAAGCAAGCAGAAGCCAGAGAGACAGAGCCAUGCCUGAUUUCUGCUUGAUUCCAAGGCUGUGGCUAUGGGAGGAACAAUAUCUUCUGGUGUGUUAAUGCUAUGAGCUCCUCCAUAGUAGGCUCAGGUUCUACAUAUGUAUAAAUAGCUGGACCUUGGGUAAGCGCCUGGAAGCCCUGGAAUCUCUCACCACUUGGAAAUUGGGGUGGCGUGCAGAAAUAUUUUAAAUGGCAUGCCGUGCUAAGGGUUCAUUUUGCUGCUUGAGGUAUACCAAACCCUGCCCUCAACUGAAUCAAGGUGCAUAGUACCCAAGGGCAGUCAGAUUAUGUUGACAACAGAGUCAGAAAAUCCCACUCACACCUCUCCCUAGCAGGGAAAAAUAAAAAAAUAAGCAAACAACAUUUUGCUGCCCUUUCAUGAUCCUGUGGUGGCCUUCCUUAUCCAGAGCUACUUUGAAUUGUGUGGUUCAUAAAGUGGAAAUCCCAGUACAGUGGUACCUCGGGUUAAGAACUUAAUUCAUUCUGGAGGUCCGUUCUUAACCUGAAACUGUUCUUAACCUGAGGUACCACUUUAGCUAAUGGGGUCUCAUGCUGCCGCUGCACGAUUUCUAAUCUCAUCCUGAAGCAAAGUUCUUAACCUGAGGUACUAUUUCUGGGUUAGCGGAGUCUGUAACCUGAAGCGUCUGUAACCCGAGGUACCACUGUAUGCACAACCCCCCAUUGUUCUUCUGCAUCCUAUUUAGCCAUUCAGCUUUUCCUACUAGCCAUACAUUGUAUAUACAGAAUAUUUAUUUUGAUGUUUGCUCAUUGGUUGAAUCUGUGACUGGAUUCACCCCGCUCCUUUUCAUAGGAUGCUAAAAGUGCCAUCGACCCUUUCUUGAGCUCCUUGUGUGCAUGUCCGAAUACAUUCAGUGCAGGACGCAAAAACAGUAGCAGGCAAUUUUUAAAAUCAAAUCUACUUUCCUGCUGGUAUAGAAAGACAUGGCUUUGUAUGUGUGCAUGAGCAUAAGUAGAUAUAAGGCGCCUCUAUUUUAAUGCUUCGGAAAACACUUCCUGUCCCUUUUACCUCAGUGCACAUUAAACAAUUUCCCCCCGAUAUGGAGAAAGGACACUAGAUCACUUAUAAUGUUAAUUUUUAAAGCAUAUAUAUAUAUUUCUAGCAGCUGAUUUCCCUUACACUCAACCCCUCUCCCACAACUAUCAUGGGAAAGGAACAGAAAGAAAAAAGCACCCCAAAUUAUUGCUAUCAAAGCCACCACAAGAGUAUAUAAAAUUCUUAUAAAGAAGGUGGAAAUAUUACCUUUAUUCCCCACUGUAUGCUCCAGAUUAAUAUAGUCAAAUGUUUUUCAGUCCGAAUGUGACAGCCAUGAAACGUAUUCCUUUCCCAUCUACUGAGAACACAAACAUAAGAUGCAUCACCUCCUAAGGAGACCCCCCCAGCUAUUGUCUAGUACAUGUGGCAAUGAAGCACAAUUUGAAGAAAUCAUUCAUAAGCUCAACUAAGCAAAAACAUUUAUAAAGGAAACCAAUUUUGAAAGUGGGAUACAGGCUGUCAGGGCCCUCAGUUAUUGGUGGAUUCCAUCCAGUGCCCGUAAGUUAACCUUUCCUUUCUAGAAAAGUGAUUCUUUUCCCCUACCCUCAGUUUUGUAUACAAUGGAGUGCAGUGCAACUCUCUCUCUCUGUGUGUGUGUGAAGUCAUACCGCUGUGUUAGCAGCAUCAAAGUGACUUCCCCGGGGCGCAAGCCUGGGCAGUAUGUAUGGAGGUCCUAAGCUGCCCAGACACAAGACCCCACUCUUGGCCUCACUGAUGUGGUCCAGAGGAAAGCAGAAUAAUGCUUUUGGCACUAGCUGGGACGCAAGAGUUGCUGGAAGGAGGCAUAGGAAGGAGCCCUCCAACCGCCUUAGGGACUCCACACCAGAUUUGUGUAGGGUUUGCUCCUUAGCCUUUUCUUCUUCUAAAGAUAUCCCACAAGGCAGCAGAGGUUUAGCACCAGAGUUUUCCUUCUCUUAGGUGGGCUAGUGCCUCUCAAGCAACAGGUGCUUCUAGAUGGCAACAAAAAGCCACAGAGCUGGUGGGUGGCAGCAGACUUAAAUGGCUGUGGGGCACCCUUUUCAGUUGUCUGGAAGGACCCACAAGAUACAUCAGAAUGAAUUCAAAAGUCAAAAAACAACAACACCAGAGCACAUUGCAGAUCUUUCCUACUAAUACGGAGAUUAAUUUCACAAAGCAGGGAGCGCUUUCUAUCUUGUCAGAGCUGCUCUUUGUUUCCCCCCCAACAUAAUCAUUACCCUGCAUUUUCCUUAUUAUCCAUAUAAAUGGCCGUUGCAAUUACCAGGCUUCUAAACUAUGAGCAAUGUGCUUCUCCCUAUUAACUUCAUUAGUUAGCAUGACAAAAAAAUAAAUAAGGGAUAACACAUUAAUGUGCGUUGCAGCAAGUAAGCUGGGCGGUUAUCAGCAGGGGGCCCUAAUGGAAAGGUAUUUUAUUUAUUUACUUAGCUUGUCAAAUUAAUUUUAACAAACCUGAAGGCUUUUCUUCCUCGUGUGUGCGAACCAUUCUAUUGCUGGAAACUUAAGAAGCAGGUUCAGAGGGAUGGAGUCUGCAGGUGACUAGAAAACAACUUAAAUAACAUCAAAUUAUGUUUUGUUGAUGGGCCAUUAAGAAAGGGGUGCUGGGUAUGUGGUACAAUUACUGCAUAGUGCAGAUGUUCAUAUUAGACGAACCCUACUUUGCAUACAUUGAGAUGCAGGCAGGUACUGCCUUGCCUCACGCAGCACCGAGCAAUGAAGUAAAUAAAUAUGCAGCUGCUGAGUGAGAAAGAAGUCCAAGGGACUAGACGACAUCAUUUGGAGGGUAUUUCAAAAUUGUUUAUUUGUGUUCCAAGAGCUUUCCAGUUGUUUUGGCAGCUUUCUGGUCUCUGCUUUUGACAGUCCCCAAGGAGGAGUGAAUAGCAAGUGAGAUGGGUUACACAAACAAGCCAGGAUGGAGAAUUAGGCAAACUCUAUAUAUCUCAUCCUUUAAAAAUGUGUACAAGCCUGUAACAAAAUCUGAGACAACAUUCCUCCUGGUAAUUAGUGUUUCCACCGCUUGCUGCAGAAACGACAUCGGUAUGAAGAAUUCAGGAAAAGUAAUCAGUAGCACAAUUAAGCAAUCUGCUAUAAUGACAGAACACAACAUUUAGUGCCGAGUAAUCAGAAACAUAUUUAUUUUUCCCCUUUUAUUUUUUUUUUAGAAAAUCCAAAUACUCAAUUAUUUGCUUUGGCAGGCUUAGAAUUGAAAUGACCUCUGGUGUAGUUUUUUUUAAAAAAUAAGUAUUCUCCACAGUAACACUUAUGUUUUAUUUCACGGUAUGUAGCAAAAUUAAUGCUUGCCACUUAGCACAGUUUCCAUUUUUUACGGUUUCCAUUUUUGUACUGUUGUAGAGCUUCAGGCUUUGAUUAGGCAUCCAGACAUCAAUUUCCACUACAUAUGUUUUAGUAGCAGUUGGUGACAGCUACAGUUGUGCAAAGACUACCUCAAGAGAAAAGUACCAACUAGCAGUGGACUAGCAUAGUACAUUUGUUGGCAUCUGUCUUCCUUGGGAGACAAUGGGGAAGUGUGCCUUCGGGGUUAAAGUCAAACCAUUGGAGAAUUAGAGCGCCUCCUGUGGUUGUGGAGAUCGAUAUGGGUUUUAUUGCCCUUGCUGCAGAUAAAAGCGUCCGGUUUUGCUGCUACCGGUACACCAUGGUGUCUCUUUUUGAUUCUUUUGCAGUUGUGUUGUGGAGUCCCAUGGAUUCCACCUCAUCUCUGUUGCUGUUUAAUAUCUACAUGAAACUGCAUGGUGUUGUCAUCCAUAUUCUGCUCUUUCUCCUUUUCAUCAGAACUAAGUGCAGCAGUUACUGUUAGUUCCUCAGUUGCUAGCCUGCAUUCUAAGGGACUAGAUAAGGCUGAAUAAACUGAAUGAAUCAAGGUAGGAUGAGUUAUUUAUUGCUGGAAGCUGCAGAGCCUGGGAAGUACAUACUGUAAUGGCUGUAUCUCCUUUGGAGAAGUGCUCUGGAAGACAAGGUCCAUAGCCAGGAAGUGCUUAGAACUGGACUUGCUCCUGGAGUGGAGUGGCUUUGGCUGGUGCAUCAGUUACACAGAAUGCCUUUUCAAAAGCUAUAUACAUAAUGUUACAAUUGCACCACACGUAUAUAUUCCUAUUCUAAUAAUCUAAAACCUUUGCUAAUAUUUAGUUCAAUAGCUCAACACAAUUUUACCCAUACUAUACUGGUAGAUCAAUCCAGAUAGCAGUGAGAGUCUUCCCUAAUAUCUUAGUUUUGGUGGCUGGUCUUUUUUCUCCAAUAGAUGUGAAGUUCUCUUCCUCCUCCCUAAUCUUAUGAGGCUAGUUCAACACCUCUUUAUGGAGUUUAUAUUGGAUCCCCUCUAAGAAUAAACUAAGGGGGAUUUUCAUAUCUGGGUAUACAGUAUCUUCCUUAUCUACUAACACACAACACAUACAAUGUUUUUUUCAUAUUCACAACAACCUUGCAAAGUAAGUUAAUUUGUUCAAGGUCACCCAGUGAGCUGCCUGGCCAAGAAAGGAUUUGAGAUCAGGUUCCCCAGUUCAGCUCCAACACCAUCUCCACUAUGCCCAGAUGUUUUCAUAAUAUAAUAAUAAUUUACCCCGCUCAUCUGUCUGGGUUUCCCCUACCCACCCUGUUUUUAAAUAUGUAAGCUUGCCCUCCUUCCUGGUGUGUGUCAGGGCAGCAAAAAUAUGUGCAUAAGAGGGUUACCUGAAAUAUGAGGGUAGGGAGAAAAUAUGUGUAUGUAUCCCUUACUUUCUACUGCAAUGAGGGCAGGAUGUCAUAAACAGACCAGUCUAAAGGCAUACCGUUCCUCUAGAAAGUGAGUGCUUAAUACAGAAUGACUUUCCUACUGCUGCACCAACACAACAUCACAAGCUGUGAUUUUAUGCCAGCGUUGCAGGCUGAUAGGCUGCUGCAAAUGCUUAGGAUCAGAUUGACAGGCUCCAGCUUGAAACUCAAGUUAUUGUUGCUAUCAUGAAAGCACCAGCUUGGCAUCUUAGUUCAAACUGCACUGCCAAGUUAAAGCCUGCAAACCUCAGAUCAUUGAAACCAAUGGGAUGCUCCAGAAUAAUUGUUAUAAGAACCACGGCCAAAAUAACUCAAAUGUACUCCGUGGGGUAUGCAUGGAUUUUAGCUACAGAACUUAGUAAACAUUGUGCAAAUCGAGAAACUCGCCACAGAAUCUCUCUUCAGACUUAACGCUUCUAUUGCUGUCUGUGUUAUCAGAUUAAAAAGGAAGCAAGUUUAAUAGCCAUACAUAUACUGUACAUUCUUUGUGUGUGACAAACUGUGCACCAUGCAAAACUAGAUGUCACAGAAAGCAGCAAAAUUGUGAGAAUGAGCAGAUGUUCCGCUGAGCAAAAUCAACGUACAUCUCUGAAGAAAGAUCGAAAGACUUCAGGAACUCGUAAGAGUCACUUCAUCUUAUAAUAUCAGUAGAGAGUGUUAACGCAUUCAGCACAAAUGCAGACAUUGCCAGUGCUAAUAUGCUGCCUGAUAUGUAUUUUAACAUUAUAUUAUAGUAGAACUCAAUAAGAAUAUAGGGGGUGGUAGGUGAGGAUUGAAAUUGCUGCUGGGAACUUGCUUUUUGUUCAGCGUAAGUGCUGAACAUCUCAGCAGUCGGGAAAAGCUUCUCAGCAAGAUUAUAUUGUUACAUCAGAACCACAGUGGGUUGAACACAAUUCUCAAUUUGCAGGCAAAUGGAUGUAUUGUGUUGGGGUUUACCAGUAGGAGGCUGCAGAAGUAUAAAUUACAAUCCAGCAGCAUUCUCUUACCUAGAUUUGUGGCUAAGCACAAGGACCUUUGCCUGUGGAAGGAAAGGAAGUUCUGCAUAGGGCCUCCAUGUUCUUGCAUAUUACUCUCAAGUAUGCCUUCUUCCUGUUAUGAUCUUAGGCAUAGCCUAAAUGGUUGAAUAAUGUGAUAAGCAUAUACAUAACUUUGAGUGUGUGUGAGAGAGUGCUACUUGUGCAGUGAUGCAUAGUUACUACUGCCACAGCUUUUAUUAGCAUUUAAUGUUCCUCCAGCAUCAAAUCUUCUAGGUGCUGCGCAGAGCAUGGAAAUGACAUGGUCUCUGAGUGGAAGGCUCACAGUCCAAAUGAGAUGGGUGAGUCAGUAGUCACCAGAAAGCUUUAAGCCCAUGGCGGACAUUUAGCGCGACAUCGCCCACGACUCCCAAGCUGCCAAAACGAAGGGGGAAGGGGAGGAUUCCGCUGGCAAAGCGGCGCAGCUCCCCCCUUUCCGAUGGUUCGGGGUAGGCUUGGGAGUCAUGGGCGGGUGGCACACUGAAUGUCAGCCCCCUCAGUGAGGGCACCGGGGGCGACUGCCCCCACCGCCCCCUUCCUACGCCCCUGCCCUUACUGGGAUGAUCUAGGGUAGCAGCAAGGGUGGGGCUGCACCAGCUGAGCCAGUGUGAUGUACCCACAGAGCCCUAUCCUAGCCGCAUUCCAGAUCCGACCCUGCAUUUUCCCAGUGGCAGCAAUGCCGCUAUCAGGGGGCAGUAGUACACCGCAUUUCUAUGUAGAGUGUUAAGCUUACUUAUUGUUGCGAGAUGGCCAAGAGCGGUAUACAGUGGUACCUCAGGUUACGUACUUAAUUUGUUCUGGAGGUCAUCCUGAAGCAAAGUUCUUAACCCGAGGUAAUAUUUCUGGGUUAGCGGAGUCUGUAACCUGAAGCGUAUGUAACCCGAGGUACCACUGUAUACGCUUUGCUUCCCAGUAAACAUUUCUUCAGCACUCUGCAGCUUCUCUGGCUGCCCCGCACUUCCGGAAAAAAGCCCUGUGGGAGGAGUUAUCUCAAGAUGCCUUCCCCAGGCAUUUUUGAUCGAAGCACUGGCACCCAGGAAGGCUGCAGACCGCUUGAGAGACAAUGUGUACAAUGAAAGAAUGGACGUUCACAAACACCACCUCCAAAGUAAGGUAAUCACUUAAAAGCACACAUACAAACACACACCACAAUUUUCCCUCCCCUGUGAUAAUUCUCAAAUGCAGUUUCUAGUCAUAUUAAUUGAUGGGGACUGGUCAGGAAAAAAUCUAGAACUUUUCAGCAGAGCAUUACUAAAAGUAGGAAGAAGACCAUGUUGAGCUUCUUAGGUUAAUCUGUUAAAUCAGGACUGGGGAACUUUUCCCAGCUAAUAAACAAAAUCCUAGCCUCCUGCAUCGGGGACAAUGCCGACUAGCGAGUCACCUCAGUUGCACCAGAGUUCCUGGUAGAGAACUCCCUACUACAGCCCAUCUCAGUAGGACUUGCUGUCAAUGCCCACCAGUGAGCCCUGCUUGCUGAAGAAGAACUGGGAGCUCACUUUAAGUUCCAGUGGUUCCUCUGCACCUGUGUCCUUCCUUGCAGGUGAUGUCACAGGUAGGCGUUGUUUGAGGAAACCAGACUUGCAGGCUAAAUUAGGAUCCCUCCCUGGCCUAAUUUGCCCUGUGGCCAGAGGCUCCCCAUGUCUAUGUUAUAUGGACCUACAUUAUCAACUUAUUUGGUGUUGCUUGUGCCUAACACUGACUUGUAAGUAGUAACUUACCUGGUUGACUAUGACAAGCAAUAAUUGCCUCCUUGCAACCAGCCAAUGAAGCUUCUGUGAAAUGGAAAAGGCAUUGUGGUCAAAUGUUCUCUGAGCUAGCAGCUACUGAGGACUUGUUUACAAAGCUGAAUGAGGGAUGGUGAUGGUGACUGUUUAUGUUUAUGCUGGGCGGGGUUAGGUGAGAAAUGCCCAAAUUGCUUCCUUGUUUGCUUCCCACAGCCAGCUGAUUGCAAGGCAGCAAUAAUCACACCGAGUAAGUUUCUUAAUACAUUAGUAGCCGCAGUUUCAGUAGGAUAGUGGGAUUAGUAGUAUUCUGCCUUCUGCCUUUUCUGGCAGAAAAGGUGGCUCACAUCAAUAAAACCAGUCAACAAUCCAUAACCUAAGCAAAUCUAAAGCUUUUUUUAUUUUAUUUUUUUUAAAAAGGACUAAAAACCAAAUAAAAUCAUUAAAGCAAACACCAUCCAUUCAGAUGGAUAGAAUCCCUUACAACAUGUAAAGCAAACAGUAGCAAUUACCCCACAAAAGGCUGCCAGAAGAAGAAUAGAUGCCCUUCAUUUGCUUUCCAAAAGCCAACAGAGAACUGGUCCCGCAGGUUUCCUUGGGGGUGGUGAGUGCAUUCCGUUGCAUGGGUGACACAACAGAAAAGACCUCUCACAGCAGCUGUGAAGGCUGCAUACACACCACAGAAUUAAAGCACACACACAUGCCCCAACCUUGGGAACCAUAGUUAACCCUGCACAGAGCUAAAGAGGCCCACACUCUUAAUGAACUAUAGUUCCCAGGAUUCUUUGGGCAGGGAAAAUGGUUUACAAAUGUACGAUGUGUACGCACAUCAUGGUCAGGCCAUGAUAGAAGUAAUGCAAAUCCGAUAGUAAUAUCUGUGCAUUGAGCUUGACACACCCACAUAUACAGAUUCAGAAGCAUGUCUUUUUCAUUGCUUCUUUCAGCUAUCUGCUUGAAAAUUAAUAAUAUGUAACCAUGAGUGGGGUAAUAUUACGCUUAUCUCUCCUCUCAAUCUGUUGGGGUGGAAACGGAGCAUAUAUUUCUAUCUAAAUUUGCAUAUUGCAUAUUAAAUGAAAGCUUAGAUUUAAUAGAAUCCAAUAGGAAGGGAACCGCUGAUAUGGCACUCCACUAGUAAUUGCCUCAAGCCAGUCAUUGCUCAAGAUAUCACAUUGUUUGUUUACUUUGAUUGCAUUUUGUUCUGAAAUCGUCGUGUAGGCAAGAGCUGCUCAAUCACAACAUGUUAUUAUUUGUUAUUGGAUUAUAUUUUGAUCAUUGAUCAUUUUAAUGGAACGGUUAACUUGCAAAUUGUCAAGGGUUGGCUUAUGAAAGUAUGAGAGCAGAUCACCAAGAGAAUUCUGCUCUGGGGCUCCAAGAUCUACGCUAAUGUCUGUGGUCACAAUUCAAGGUGCUGGGUGUGGAUGACAAAAACAAUGUGUUGUUAUUGGCAACAAAACAGAUAAGAGUGAUCUGUGAUCCACCCUUAUCCUAGCCUCCCCACACGUGGGGAUAAAUAUAGCUUACUUAGGUGGUUGUGGUUAGGAUUAUCGAGAUAGUGCGGCACAUUUUUAACAAAAAAUCAAAAUAAAUUGUGUCUAGCAUCUGUAUAGAUGCCUUUAAAGGUAAAGGUAAAGGGACCCCUGACCAUUAGGUCCAGUCGUGGCUGACUCUGGGGCUGCGGCGCUCAUCUCGCUUUAUUGGCCGAGGGAGCCAGCAUACAGCUUCCGGGUCAUGUGGCCAGCAUGAGUAAGCCACUUCUGGCAAACCAGAGCAGCGCACGGAAACGCUGUUUACCUUCCCGCAGGAGUGGUACCUAUUUAUCUACUUGCACUUUGACGUGCUUUCAAACUGCUAGGUUGGCAGGAGCUGGGACAGAGCAACGGGAGCUCACCCCGUCGUGGGGAUUUGAACCGCCGACCUUCUGAUCAGUAAGCCCUAGGCUCAGUGGUUUAGAUCACAGCGCCACCCGCGUCCCAUCCCAUAGACGCCUUUAAAUCUAUAUAAAUGUGUGUGGGUGUUGUUGUUUAAAUCUGCUAUGUAUGUAGAAAUUCCCAGGUAUAAUCCUUCCCUCUCUGAUUAAAGGAAUAUUAGGUGGUGAGCUAGAGAGGCAGCACCAAUCAGAAUAGAGAGAAUAUUGACUACAUGGAAGAUUGAAAUGGCUCUUUAUGGGGCAGCUGCUCUCCCACACCCUUCAAUGCAUGUCAAGCACUUCAAUGCAGGUUGCAUUUCUCCACUGAGCAAAAUGGAGUGAGAACAAUCACAGAAGACUGUGGAAAAGUUGUGAAUUUUUAAAUAAUUUUUUUUUGCACUUAAUCAGCAGCUUGAAGCAGGCAACCACAGUUUUCCUGAAAAGGCUUGAGCAAGAACGACCUUCAACAGCCCUGUGCUAAAAUGAUGCAAGGGCAUUUUUGUGUGUGGAGUAUAUUAGUUGUCUUAUCAAACUCACUUCCCAGAAGAUGAGGAGAGGCUGGUGGAUUGUUUAGCAAACAAAGGAGUUGUGUUUGUCAAGGAACCAGGUCACUCUGUAAUUGCAGAAGUAUUUGUCUUUGGCUGAGCCUUCCAAGAGAUUCAGAUUCCUGUUAACUCCAAAAGAACGUUGACGCAAACCCCUUGAUUCCUCUGGUCUGGAGCAUGUUCAAAGACGCAACAGAUGAUAGCGAAGUUUCCUUCCUUAUUCCUUUUAUUCCCUUCAUUCCCACAAUGUGACAACACCUCACUCCACAAAUCUGGGCAUAUAAAAUAGCUGUUUAUGGGUGGAAUAUGUUUACAGGAAAUCUGGGUGGGGCAUUGUGCUGUGCUAUUUUGAAAGAAAAAAAAAAAGGGUUGGAGCAAGACGUGGGAACUUUAUCUUGUUAAACAAGGCUUGGCCUCCUACACCUACAUUGAUCGUAUACUCUAGCCCAGCCUCCCUCGACCUGGUGUGCUCCAAAUGUUUUGCACUACAACUUUCAUCAGCUCUAGCCAGCCUGGAGGGCACCAAGUUGGGGAAGGCUGAUCUUGCCAGUGAGUCUCAGUGGCUCUCAUCAAACAAGCUGCCAGCAGUAGUGUUCUGUGCGGAUAAAAAAGCACAUUUGCUUGAGAAAGCUGAGACAAGGUUUAUUUGCUCAGCUAAGAUGGAGGUGGGGAGGGAACACACUCAAUCUUAUUAAGAGUUACACACCUACACAUGAAUGUUAGUUUAAGCUAAAACCUCUAAGGUGCUGCAGAAGGAAAGGGACUAAGAAUUUAAACCAGCAUAACUCUUUAGGUAAUCUUUAUGGGAGAAAUGGGGCUGUCACUGGAAGCUAAGAAAACAAAAGCAGUUUAAUAAGUGGAAAUAGAAUGCUUGCAACAACAGCAAGGCCCAAAAAAAAAAAAGACCUGGCAAAGUAUGUUGCAUAAGUCUAACGACAAUAAAUAAAAAUGAUGGGUGACAUCCAAUUGUGUCUUCCUGCAGGCGGAAUGGAUGCUUGUUUGUUCAACAAGACUUCUUCCUUUGCAAACCUACAUGCAAUCACCUCCCAAAAUUUGCUCUAAAUAGGAAGUCCCAUGUGAGAUUGGAUGUCACCCCAUAAUUCUGAAAACUGAAUAGGUGCAUUAAUAGCACAUUUAAAAUAGCAACAACAACAACGCCAUUAAGGUGCACAGCCACCUGCUCUUGAGUCUUAAGGAAAUGUCGAAAGCGGCUUGCAAUGCUGAUUUGGGUGCAGCUGUGUGGAUUCAGCAUUCCCUUAUGGCCAGGCACAACCACUGAGGUCACAAGGGUUCUCUGGAUCAUGGCCAUAGUAGUCCGCACUAGCAUCUGGUUCUGUGCAAUUGGGAUGCCUGUUCAACUGGGUGUCCCAACCAGGCAGAGCUCCUUCUCACAGGCAGGUGCUCACGUGUUGGAAUUUCUCUGCAGACAACAGCAUACAGCGCAUGGUAGUGGCAAGAAAAAGGCCCAAUGAGGGGGGAAAUAGCUAAAAAUGCCCCCACUCUGCUAUCAGCAUGGAUAUGCCUUACACAUGAGUGAGAUGUCAAUAGGACUUCUGAAUCAAUAGACUAUGACCAGGCAUUGAUAUAUAUAUAUAUAUAUAUUUUAAUCUAUUCAGACAAAUAAGCAGUUUUUGAUCAGGAGUCUUCUUUAGAAGGAAGGCCAUGAAAUAUACCACCCCAAACACACAGCUUUUCUUUGCUUCUUCCCAACAUGAUAUUCUGGUUAAACCUCAUGCACUUAUUUCCAAGUCAGCUUACCUACUGAAAUAAAGAUUUUCCUUUCUGAUGCAAGCUGAAAUUAUUUUGAUGACCUUUAAAAGUGCAUUACCAUGACAAGGCAGAACUUUUCCAAAAUUAGAUGGACAAAGCAUAGACGUCUUGCCUCAUUAUUUCUCUCAUACACAAGCUACCUGACAGAAACAUGGUUGUGUCUUGUGCCUUAAAAAAAGAGAGGGGGAAAAAUAAAACAAAAUAUUUUUGUAGUACUCAUCUUUCACCCUUUCCCAAGCUAAAUAUACACAAGGGGAGUCUGAAGGGCGAGGAUGGUGGCUUCAGGAAUGGGCUUAGGACAUAAAAUAACCAUACAAACAAUUGUGUAUUGGGUCCCGGUCAUUUUAACAGUUGCCCCACCACAUCACUCGAAUACCACAUGGGGAAUGACAAAUUAAGCCAUAUGGUGGAAGAUUACCUUGCACUGUUUCAGACUGCAGGUGGGGGUUCAGGUGUUUGAAUGAUCUCCUGCAUAAAGACUUCUUGUAAAUGAAAAAAAUGAUAACAAAAAGGAAAGGAUUAAGCUCAAACCCGUCUUUCGGAUGUUCAGUAUUAGUUUUCCAUUUGCAGGAAGCCCCCCCCCCCCCGGGAAACCACUAGAUGUAUUUAUUUGUUACAUUUAUAUAUUGCUUAUUAACCGAGUCAUCCAUGUGUUUCAAAAAUGCUAUUUAUUUAUUUAUUUAUUUAUUUGCUGCUUUUCUUUCAGAUGAAUCCCAAAGCGGCUUAACAAACAGUAAAAGAACAAUGUGUUGAUGAUAUAAACCAGCACAUAAAACCAUGCAAAAGCCAACAUGGCAGCAUAAAAUCAGCUUAAAACCAGUAAAAUUGUGAGAGAGUUAAAAGGAAACCAAAUCUGUAUGCCUUUUGAAAAUUAAAAUUCUUGGGAUAAUAAAAAGGCUUUCACAUGGCACCUUAAUGAACGUAAUGGGAAUGCCAGGUAAGCCUCUCUAGGGAGGGUAUUCCAUAAACUCGGGGACACCACUUGGAAGACCUUGUACAUUGCCCUUACCUGCUUCGCUUCAAGGACCAGGCAUGUGCAUUUGGGAUAAGAUUACCAUUCAGAUACCCUGGUCUCAAGCUGUUUAG